rnacentral:lncRNA from 1 species
CUUGUACCAAGUCCACGCACCGUGGCACAGGCCAUGGACGAGCACAAACCUUUUCUGGUUGUUCUUCUCCAUUAUCUUUUUUACUUUCAGCAUCUUGUGGUUCAACACUUAUAAAUUAUUAAGUUUCCCGCAUUUACUAUUUGGAUGGUGACUAAUAGAUUUUGGUCAUUGUCUGACAUCUAUUAGAAUUCUAAACCGACACUAUAUUGACCAUUAGUUUAUUUAUUUAUUUGUUUCAACCAUCGAAAGCAAUAAAUUCUAACCUUCUGCAGCAAACACUUAAGUGCAUCAAAACCUCGUACAUUUGCAUUGGUAGGCUUGAAGGCUCUGAUACCGUAUAGAUUUAGAUCGAAGUAUCUUUCUUUUCAUGAAAUCAUGACGCUUUGUAAUUUCUUUAAAGGUCAUUACAGUAUUCAUUACCAUUCUUGCAUACAGGUCUUACAUGAAUCUUUAAUCGUUUGUUCUUAUGAAUCUUUAUUCUCAUAUGGUUGAUUGUUGUGGUGGAAGCUGAAGUUGGUUAUUUAUUUGCAGUGACAAUCUCAGGUUUACUUAGGCGUAUUCAUCUGCAAUCUCCAAGAGAAGAGCACAUAGUUCUUUAGGCCUGGAAGACAUUGCCAUAUGAUCUGCAUCUUGGAUCUCCAUUACUUCUUUCACCGGAAAGUUACUGAUCAUCCAACGCUGGUAUUCCUCAGGUAAUAUAUUAUCCUCUCCACAUAUGAUAUAAAUACGUUUAACCGAUCCAUACCCUUCCUCAGUAAAGCUUCUUGUCCCUGUCAGAUUGGUCGUAACCACCGGGUUCACCCUUACCAACAAUUUCGCCAAUACAAGAUCCUAACCGUUGAGAACAGAGAAUAGAAAAAGAUUGACUGGGGUUACUAGCAAUCUCAUUUGUUAGAAUAAG